UCCCAAUUUACUUUGGCAGCCCGAUAUAUUUAAUAAAGGUGUUCAGAAUUUGGGACAGUUAAUAAGCCGUCCCGCUCAUUUUAGUGAAACGAAUAAAAGUGGACUUGAGGAGCAAAGUAUCAAGCCGACGGUAAUAAAUAAAAAGCAUGGACUUCGCGAAGGAACUACUACGGCGGCUUUCCAGGGGAGCAAAUUAAUUUAUCACUACACCAAUAAAAAAGUUGAGUCUAUUGAGAAAAAGAUUCUGCAACCGACAAUGUUUGCAUAAUCUAAGAAAAAGAAAAAAAGCAGGAGGAAAGCGUUGGACGAGAUGGAUGAAAUUUUUUCUAUUUUAAUCUAAACCUAGCCCCUUCACCAGCCUGU